rnacentral:rRNA from 1 species
AUGCCCUACGGGACGCAGCAGUGAGGAAUAUUGGUCAAUGGUCGGGAGACUGAACCAGCCAAGCCGCGUGAGGGAUGAAGGUACAGAGUAUCGUAAACCUCUUUUGUCAGGGAACAAAGGCGGGGACGCGUCCCCGGAUGAGUGUACCUGAAGAAAAAGCAUCGGCUAACUCCGUGCCAGCAGCCGCGGUAAUACGGAGGAUGCGAGCGUUAUCCGGAUUUAUUGGGUUUAAAGGGUACGCAGGCGGUCUGUUAAGUCAGCGGGCAAAGACCGGGGCUCAAACCCGGCCCCGCGUUGAAA